UACAGAGGUCUCAAGCGUUGUUCGGAUUCAUUGGGCGUAAAGGGUGCGUAGGUGGCGGGGUAAGUCAGGUGUGAAAUUUCGGAGCUUAACUCCGAAACUGCAUUUGAUACUGCCUUGCUUGAGGACUGGAGAGGAGACUGGAAUUCACGGUGUAGCAGUGAAAUGCGUAGAUAUUGGGAGGAACACCAGUGGCGAAGGCGGCUCACUGGACCGGUACUGACGCUGAAGCGCGAAAGCGUGGGGAGCAAACGGG
rnacentral:rRNA from 1 species